rnacentral:rRNA from 1 species
UACGUAGGGGGCAAGCGUUGUCCGGAAUCAUUGGGCGUAAAGCGCGUGUAGGCGGCUUGAUAAGUCCGCUCUGAAAGCCCCGGGCUCAACCCGGGAACUGCGUCCGAUACUGGCAGGCUUGAAUCCGGGAGAGGGAUGUGGAAUUCCAGGUGUAGCGGUGAAAUGCGUAGAUAUCUGGAGGAACACCGGUGGCGAAGGCGGCAUCCUGGACCGGUAUUGACGCUGAGGCGCGAAAGCCAGGGGAGCAAACGGG